GUCUCCCUGGGGUGGUGGGGGAUUACCAGGGAGUCCGUAUUCCCGGUAAGCGGCAGGUCGCCGGUUCGAUUCCGGCCGGAGGUUC
rnacentral:tRNA from 1 species